rnacentral:lncRNA from 1 species
AUGGCUGGCACAGGACCCCCGGGGCACGGCAGGUGCCCGUUGCCCGCUCCGCCAGCGGCUGCAUUCCCCAAAAGCACACCAUCCCAUCGUGUCUGCUGCCUCCUGACCCCCGGCCCUUAUCUCAUCCCACAUCACCUUCCUGCGUUUCCUGGCCUCUCCCUGCCCCGGGCCAUCCCUGGGUCUCCGGAGCGAGCCGUGGCCACGCCCGAGCUGGCGCGGGUUACCAGCAGCCGCGGGGCUGGGACCGCUCGCCGCCGGGCCCGGGCUUCGCGCUCGUCCUGGCCGCUGGGGCCUCGGAGAGCGGCGGCAGGAGCGAGGCAUCACCCGAGCGCUGACAGGCGCCUCUCCGCCUUCCCCGCCCGGCGCAUUCGCCUUGCCACGUGCAGAACCCGGCAGGCGCGGACCGCCAGCGCCCUCGCGGUUGCCGUGGCUACGCACGAGCGGCCGCAGCUGACCCAGGCGGGGCCUCCCUCCGCCGCCUCCGCCUCGGGCUCCGUCCCCGCUCGGUUAGGGAACCCCAAGCCCCCGGCCCCUACAAGCUGUGCACACCUGCAGCAGACCCGUUUCUGCAAAGCUUCCUGCAGCAGGCAAGGCUGGUCAUCAUCAUCACCAUCAUCAUCACCAGCAGCAGCAGCAACACCUGCAUUUGCAUCUGAACCUGAAGAAGUCAGACUGUUGCAGGGAGUAGAGAAGGGAAGUGGGAAAAGCUCUGCAAACGGUGCUGGGACAGGGAAGAAGAGGAGUUCCAGGCACAUGAGCUGGGAGUGCCAAAGAACAGACACACAGCUGGCACUGAAGGGAGGAGCCAGCUAACAUCUAAGACCAACAGCCCUUCAAACGGCCCUUCAGACUGUGCUGUGGAAGCCAGGGCAGCACCUCCAGACCAUUUAUCCCCACUUCCAAGUUCUGCAAGACAAGUUGUUGUGAUCGUCAAGUUCUGGAAGACUAACUGUCAUGGUAUGUAAGCUCUGGAAGGUUAUUUGUUGUGGCAUGUGAGCUCAUGAUCGAAAGUUGUUUGCAAAUCUCAUUAUAUCAUCCACCAGAACAACCACUGGUACUGGAACACUUGGUUGACGCACAUCUGGAGUGCCCUGUUUUUCAAAACACUGAGGACAUUUGUGAAAACUUCUACUGAAGGAUGGGUGUGUAGGUGUGGUGGUACUGUGGGAAGGAAAAGCUUGACACCCAUGUUUGGGGAGGGUGGGGCAGUGUCCUACAUGUGGACCGUGAUACAAACACCAUUAAGUAGCAAAUCUGGUGCAACUCUGUUUUUGUGGCAGGCAUAAUAACAGCACCCCUACAGCAGGAGCAAGCUUCUCGCGUUCUCUCUUAUUGUUUUAUCACUUGUGUCAGAAGGGUCCUGGAUUGUCAUGAGAAAGUUAGGUCUGUACUGGAAUACUGAUGGGAGGAGAACCUGCGAGCUAAGAUUGCAUAGGGUGAAGGUUGGCGGCUUCCUCAAAACCAGCUAGUAAAGCAUGCUUUCAAAAUAAAGUCUAUGGAAACAAACA